AUGGCGCGGGGGCCUGCCGACGGCGGCACGGCGCACGGGGCGGCGCUGUUGCGCGCGCAGGUGCCGGCACGGUGGAGCGACUGGAGGCAGUGCCCACCGUGGCACACCAACUCGCCGGAGAACGUCGUGCCGAAGAACCUGCCCUGGCCGUCCGCGCGCCCGAGGUACAACGGCAUCACGGUCACCGACAAGGCGCAUGCUCCCGCGCGUGUGGCGUCGCCCGAUGCCGUGCUCCCGUUCCUGACGCUCCGCUCCAGCUCUGGCAUGGGCAGCUUCUCCCUCUAA
rnacentral:rRNA from 1 species